ACAAGAUCUCUCUACGUACCACUUUUAAAAAUAGCAAGCAAGGAAGCAGUCCACAAAUAUACAGGAGGUGAUUCCAAGAGUAUGAAGCUCUGAGUGAGGAAGGAGGAAGCUGACCCAAGGAAGAAGAAAACCUUGGUUGGUCAGCUGGGUCUGGAGCAGUGCCUGGAUGCUGUAAUGGGCUGGAUGAGGGUGAAUAAACUGAUGCUGAAUUCCAGUAAGAUAGAGAGUCUAUGGACUGAUGGUUCCUGAGUCUGGUUCUUGAGGUUGCCUGUCCUGGAUAGGGUUGCACUCCCCCUGAAUGAGCAGCUUCAUAGUCUAAGAAUGCUCCUAGAUCUAUCUUUGUCACUGGAAAUCUAGAUGAACUCAAUGGCUCUGAAUGCUUGAGACCAGCUUCAGCUGGUCCACCAGCUACAGCCUUUCUUGGACAGAGAUAACUUAGCCACAGUAGUCCCUGCAUUAGACUACUGUAAUGCCCUCUACACAGGGCUGCCCUUGAAGACUACUUGAAAACUACAAAAUACAGCAGCAUGUAUUUUCUAGAAUUCUGUCCAUGGGUGUGAGCCAGUUGAUCACAAAUGCAUGGAUUCCAACUGUUGUCCACCUAAGAUAAUUUGCUGGUUAAUUCAAAAGAAAAAUCCUCUGGGUCAACUCAGCUGGCAUCCUUCUGUAGGUCGCUAAAAUGAGCACCCAUCUUGUUGGGGGCAUUUAGUUUACACUCUGUAAACUGUUUAGUAUAUUGGUAAGCGGUAUAGAAAUGUACUUGCUACUUCUAUUGCUAUUGGAACAUUGUGUCCAAUCUGAGCAUCACAGUUUGAGAACGCUUUUGACAAGAUGGAAUGUGCCUAGAGGAGGGCCAUCAAGAUGAUCAAGGAUCUGAAAACCAAGCCUUAUGAACAACAAUUCUGGGAGCUGGGUAUGUUUAGCUUGAAGAACAGAGGACUGAGAGGUGAUAUGAUAGCCAUCUUUAAAAAUCUGAAGAGAUGCCAAGCAGAAGAUGGAGCAACCUUGUUUUCUGCUGCUCCAGAGAAUUGGAUACAAACCAAGAGAUUGCAGAAAAGAGAUUUCACCUAAACAUUAGGAAGAACCUCUUCACAGUAAGAUAUAUUUGGCAGUAGAAUACAUUUCCUCUGCUAAACAUACUCGGCUCCCUAAGAUGGUCCUCAUGGUUUCCAGGCCUUUCCAGACCUUUC